GUGGGGAAUCUUGGACAAUGGGCGAAAGCCUGAUCCAGCCAUGCCGCGUGGAUGAUGAAGGCCCUAGGGUUGUAAAAUCCUUUCGUUGGGGACGAUAAUGACGGUACCCAAAGAAGAAGCUCCGGCUAACUUCGUGCCAGCAGCCGCGGUAAUACGAAGGGGGCUAGCGUUGUUCGGAUUUACUGGGCGUAAAGCGCGUGUAGGCGGAUUUGUAAGUUGGGGGUGAAAUCCCGAGGCUCAACCUCGGAACUGCCUCCAAAACUACAAAUCUGGACUCAAGUAGAGGCAAGUGGAAUUGCGAGUGUAGAGGUGAAAUUCGUAGAUAUUCGCAGGAACACCAGUGGCGAAGGCGACUUGCUGGACUUGUAGUGACGCUGAGACGCGAAAGCGUGGGGAGCAAACAGGAUUAGAAACCCCGGUAGUCC
rnacentral:rRNA from 1 species